UACGAAGGGGGCUAGCGUUGCUCGGAAUCACUGGGCGUAAAGCGCACGUAGGCGGAUUGCUAAGUCAGGGGUGAAAUCCUGGAGCUCAACUCCAGAACUGCCUUUGAUACUGGCGAUCUUGAGUCCGGGAGAGGUGAGUGGAACUGCGAGUGUAGAGGUGAAAUUCGUAGAUAUUCGCAAGAACACCAGUGGCGAAGGCGGCUCACUGGCCCGGUACUGACGCUGAGGUGGCGAAAGCGUGGGGAGCAAACAGG
rnacentral:rRNA from 1 species